GACCUGGUGGUGUAAUGGUAACACACUUGCUCAAGGUAACUCAUUGCUGACCGUGUCCGCAGGAGAUCCUUGUUCAACUCAGGGUUGGGUCA